rnacentral:rRNA from 1 species
AACGUACGCUUGGCGGCACGCCUAACACAUGCAAGUCGAACGAAGUAGCAAUACUUAGUGGCAGACGGGUGAGUAACAUGUAGGUAUCUGCCCUUUGGCCUGGAAUAACACGAGGAAACUUGUGCUAAUACCGGAUAAGUCUUUACGGAGAAAGCUUUAUGCACCAUUGGAUGAGCCUGCACUUGAUUAGUUUGUUGGUGGGGUAAUGGCCUACCAAGACUGUGAUCAAUAGCUGAUUUGAGAGGAUGAUCAGCCACAUUGGGACUGAGACACGGCCCAAACUCCUACGGGAGGCAGCAGUGGGGAAUCUUGCACAAUGGAGGAAACUCUGAUGCAGCGAUGCCGCGUGAGUGAAGAAGGCCUUUGGGUUGUAAAGCUCUUUCGUCGGGGAAGAAAAUGACUGUACCCGAAUAAGAAGGUCCGGCUAACUUCGUGCCAGCAGCCGCGGUAAUACGAAGGGACCUAGCGUAGUUCGGAAUUACUGGGCUUAAAGAGUUCGUAGGUGGUUGAAAAAGUUAGUGGUGAAAUCCCAGAGCUUAACUCUGGAACUGCCAUUAAAACUUUUCAGCUAGAGUAUGAUAGAGGAAAGCAGAAUUUCUAGUGUAGAGGUGAAAUUCGUAGAUAUUAGAAAGAAUACCAAUUGCGAAGGCAGCUUUCUGGAUCAUUACUGACACUGAGGAACGAAAGCAUGGGUAGCGAAGAGGAUUAGAUACCCUCGUAGUCCAUGCCGUAAACGAUGUGUGUUAGACGUUGGAAAUUUAUUUUCAGUGUCGCAGGGAAACCGAUAAACACACCGCCUGGGGAGUACGACCGCAAGGUUAAAACUCAAAUGAAUUGACGGGGACCCGCACAAGUAGUGAAGCAUGUGGUUUAAUUCGAAGAUACGCGCAGAACCUUACCAACACUUGACAUGUUCGUCGCGACUCUAAGAGAUUAGAGUUUUCGGUUCGGCCGGACGAAACACAGGUGCUGCAUGGCUGUCGUCAGCUCGUGUCGUGAGAUGUUGGGUUAAGUCCCGCAACGAGCGCAACCCUCACUUUUAGUUGCCAUCAUUAAGUUGGGCACUCUGAAAGAACUGCCAGUGAUAAGCUGGAGGAAGGUGGGGAUGACGUCAAGUCCUCAUGGCCCUUACGUGUUGGGCUACACACGUGCUACAAUGGUAUCUACAACAGGAAGCAAGACUGCGAAGUUAAGCAAAUCCCUAAAAGAUACCUCAGUUCGGAUUGCACUCUGCAACUCGAGUGCAUGAAGCUGGAAUUACUAGUAAUCGUGGAUCAGCGUGCCACGGUGAAUGCGUUCCCGGGUCU